CGAAUACUAAAUUACCGAAUAGUAAUUUCGGGUAUUCGGGUAAAAACCGAACCAACAUCCAACAUAAAUUAACUGUUAACUCAUAACUGUUCAACAAAUGAACAAAGUAACUAUCCAGCAGCAAAAUAACUUAAAACAAGCCAACAAAAUAACUGUCCUUAAAACCUUAACAAAGUUUAUGACUUGAACAAAGCAGCUAGCACCCUACAUCUACAAGAAUUUAUUCUACUAGCAGGCAACAGCUACUCAGCACUCAGCAGUGUGCUUGUGCAACAGCCAAGACUCCAGAGUCAACAGCCAACAACCAAUAGUACAGCAACAUGCAACAAGAAAUCAGCAAUAGCAACAGCCACAACCAACAACAAUCAGCACAAGGAGCAAAAGGCAUCUGAAAUUACAACAGCAACAACCCAAUUGCAAUCAGCACAAGUAUAUAUAUAUAUAAUAAGAUCCAACAAGGCAACAACCCAAUUGCAAGUAACUAUCAUGUCAUACAUUGCCAGAAAUCCAACCAAAGAAUACGAGUAUAUGACAAAUUCUAAUUGACCAACAACAUCUCAUCAGACCCAGAUUAGGAAAUGCAACAUUAUAUGUAAAUUUUCGUACCAGAUGACACAAAUUCAACUAAUACAACUUAAUAGGACUAGUCUAAAGCAAAGACCUUUUGAGUCCCAUAAAAGAAAACAAUUAUCAACAAACCCAUAAAAAAAUAGCUAGCAUAAACAGUUUGAGAGAGAAACAUUACCCAGUAUCAGUGCUUGAUGGGAAGCUCAAAGAAGUUGUUAUAAACCUUAAUUUUGAUUUUACUGAUCAUUCAUCCGAAGCUCUUUGUGGAAUUUUGAGUAGUGUAUGAAAUGAUAUUAAUUAUCAACAUGAACACUAAUGGAAUUGUGAGCCAUACAGAUCUAACUAUCAUGUCAUACAUUGCUCAUAAAACACAUAAAAUCAGCUCCACACCUUUAGGAAUAACACAGUCUCACACCUUUAAAAAACAGCUAGUAACUUCAUCUAGGAACUAUAUUAUUAGACCCGGAACUGAUCAUCCAUCAGAAUGGUCAUCUGAACUAUAUUAUUAAGGUCACCAGCUCCACACCUUUAGGAAUAACACAUAAAAACUAAAACUAAAAUGUAGUCACCACCUCACAGUCUCACACCUUUAAAACACAGCCAGUAAACAGUCCCCCAAAAUUCACCAAUCACCACCAUAGAAGAACAAUCAUCAAGCAUCAAGCCCAUAGGCCAUAUGCCAUAACAAUUCCAAAAGUCCCACAAAAUUUGAUAGUAUAAAAUCCAACAGUAAAUAGUCCCCCAAAAUUUUAAUAUAAAAUCUAUCAGUAAAAUCAAUAAACUUAAUCCCCAAAACACUGAAAUAGAGAUUUAGAAAAAAGAAACCCAUUUGGUACAAAGAAGACUAGAAUAGUACAAAGAAAAUCCAGAAUGCUUGAGCAACACAACAAUCCAUUACAAGAUGCUCUAACUUUCACCCUGUCCUUGAUAAAAUCCAACGAAAAUUCAGAUACUCCCAUAAAAUUAUCAACACAAAUUAAACUUGAUCUGGAGUGUGAUGACUCAGUAACCUCUAUCAGUACCAUAGGAUUUCUAACAGACAUUUCAUUGUAUAAUUGUAUAAAAUAUUUAUCUGAUACCAAUUUAUACCACAAUUUACAAACACACUUAUAUCUAAACAGGGAUUUCAAAGGCAAUCUAGCAAGAAUUUGAAGAAUAACUUCAUCUGGGAAAAACCCAUACUUUAAAUAGGGUAGAUUCAUCGUACGAUUACUAGAAAGAACCAAAAAGUGCUACAUAAUCAAAAGAAUGAUCGAGAAUCGCUUACGCAGUUCCAUCUUCAGCUGUGAAAACCCGUGAAACUUCUGAUCUUUAGCCAAAAGGUAAGACGGCGCGAAGCAGAGAUAGAGUCAGAGAGAGGCAGAGGCCGGAGAUGAUGUAACGGAGAGAGGCGGAGGCCGGAGAUGAUGUCACAGACUCACAGUCGAGAGUCGAGACUCGAGAAGCAAGAAGAGGUUGAGGAAUUGAAGUGAGAUCUGGGAUUGGGAUUUGCCGAUUUGGGAGCGACGACUGCUAGGG
rnacentral:lncRNA from 1 species